AACUAUCAAAACACUUUUUCUCGAGGUGUUUUGGACUUUGGGAGCACUGUGCUGGUCUCUGUUUGAGCCAGCUCUCCUCAAAAGCAUUAACUUUGAGACCAUCAGUGUGAUAAUUUGUUUGCACUGGCUUCUCUUUUUUAACUGCCC
rnacentral:misc_RNA from 1 species